GCCCGGGUGGCGGAAUUGGCAGACGCGCCAGGCUUAAAACCUGGUGGCCGAAGAGGCCGUGAGGGUUCGACUCCCUCCCCGGGCACAA
rnacentral:tRNA from 1 species